GUAACACGUGAGCAACCUGCCUUUCAGAGGGGGACAACAGUUGGAAACGACUGCUAAUACCGCAUAACAUUGCCGAACGGCAUCAUUUGGCAAUCAAAGGAGCAAUCCGCUGAAAGAUGGGCUCGCGUCUGAUUAGAUAGUUGGUGAGGUAACGGCCCACCAAGUCGACGAUCAGUAGCCGGACUGAGAGGUUGAUCGGCCACAUUGGGACUGAGACACGGCCCAGACUCC
rnacentral:rRNA from 1 species